UUCAUCGACAAUUCCGGAAUCAAGCCUAAUACACUCAUCUAAAGUUAAAGACAAUCCGAUCAACCCGUCAACAUUGUCUCCGUUAUCUUUAACAUCUGAAAGAUGUGCCUCUUCGCCUGUCAUGCCGGAUUGUAUUCUAAGGCCUUCGAGGGAAAGGGUCUCGAUCUUGGUCAUUGCCAACGGAGAUUGUAUUCUCUAAUGAAACAUAUUCAGAAGCCAUCUCCUUAUCGCUCGACAAACUGAAAGCCGAGCCUUUAUCUUUUCUGCUCUUACCAGAGGCAUGUGGAAUGGCCUCUGACAGUGCAUCUGGAAUUUGAUGUUGCAGCAAAUUAUGCCUGCAUAAGAAACAAAAAAGAAGAGGAAGAAGGAAUUUCAGACAAUGUGAUAGAGGAAGCGAUAUGCCGAAGGGGAGCUAAAUUACAAAAACCACCACAUACAUUUGGAUUGCAGGAAUAUGGAACUUGGUUUUUUCUUCUUUUUUUUUUUCUUUGCUUGUCUCUUUUCUUUGUUUACAGUUGCUUUUGCCUCCAAUGAUACAAAAUUUUAGAACAAAUGUUGAAUUCGAACAGAAACUUAAAACCUAUCUAAUUGAGAGCUUCUUCUUGAACAUUUUA